UUAAGCGACUAAGCGUACACGGUGGAUGCCCUGGCAGUCAGAGGCGAUGAAGGACGUGCUAAUCUGCGAAAAGCGUCGGUAAGGUGAUAUGAACCGUUAUAACCGGCGAUGUCCGAAUGGGGAAACCCAGUGCAAUUCGUUGCACUAUCGUUAACUGAAUACAUAGGUUAACGAGGCGAACCGGGGGAACUGAAACAUCUAAGUACCCCGAGGAAAAGAAAUCAACCGAGAUUCCCCCAGUAGCGGCGAGCGAACGGGGAGCAGCCCAGAGUCUGAAUCAGCUUGUGUGUUAGUGGAACGGUCUGGAAAGUCCGACGGUACAGGGUGAUAGUCCCGUACACCAAAAUGCACAGGUUGUGAACUCGAAGAGUAGGGCGGGACACGUGGUAUCCUGUCUGAAUAUGGGGGGACCAUCCUCCAAGGCUAAAUACUCCUGACUGACCGAUAGUGAACCAGUACCGUGAGGGAAAGGCGAAAAGAACCCCGGCGAGGGGAGUGAAAAAGAACCUGAAACCGUGUACGUACAAGCAGUGGGAGCACCUUCGGGUGUGACUGCGUACCUUUUGUAUAAUGGGUCAGCGACUUAUAUUCUGUAGCAAGGUUAACCGUAUAGGGGAGCCGCAGGGAAACCGAGUCUUAACUGGGCGUUAAGUUGCAGGGUAUAGACCCGAAACCCGGUGAUCUAGCCAUGGGCAGGUUGAAGGUUGGGUAACACUAACUGGAGGACCGAACCGACUAAUGUUGAAAAAUUAGCGGAUGACUUGUGGCUGGGGGUGAAAGGCCAAUCAAACCGGGAGAUAGCUGGUUCUCCCCGAAAGCUAUUUAGGUAGCGCCUCGUGAACUCAUCUUCGGGGGUAGAGCACUGUUUCGGCUAGGGGGUCAUCCCGACUUACCAACCCGAUGCAAACUACGAAUACCGAAGAAUGUUAUCACGGGAGACACACGGCGGGUGCUAACGUCCGUCGUGAAGAGGGAAACAACCCAGACCGCCAGCUAAGGUCCCAAAGUCAUGGUUAAGUGGGAAACGAUGUGGGAAGGCACAGACAGCCAGGAUGUUGGCUUAGAAGCAGCCAUCAUUUAAAGAAAGCGUAAUAGCUCACUGGUCGAGUCGGCCUGCGCGGAAGAUGUAACGGGGCUAAACCAUGCACCGAAGCUGCGGCAGCGACACUAUGUGUUGUUGGGUAGGGGAGCGUUCUGUAAGCCUGCGAAGGUGUGCUGUGAGGCAUGCUGGAGGUAUCAGAAGUGCGAAUGCUGACAUAAGUAACGAUAAAGCGGGUGAAAAGCCCGCUCGCCGGAAGACCAAGGGUUCCUGUCCAACGUUAAUCGGGGCAGGGUGAGUCGACCCCUAAGGCGAGGCCGAAAGGCGUAGUCGAUGGGAAACAGGUUAAUAUUCCUGUACUUGGUGUUACUGCGAAGGGGGGACGGAGAAGGCUAUGUUAGCCGGGCGACGGUUGUCCCGGUUUAAGCAUGUAGGCUGGUUAUCCAGGCAAAUCCGGAUAAUCAAGGCUGAGGUGUGAUGACGAGGCACUACGGUGCUGAAGUAACAAAUGCCCUGCUUCCAGGAAAAGCCUCUAAGCAUCAGGUAACAUCAAAUCGUACCCCAAACCGACACAGGUGGUCAGGUAGAGAAUACCAAGGCGCUUGAGAGAACUCGGGUGAAGGAACUAGGCAAAAUGGUGCCGUAACUUCGGGAGAAGGCACGCUGGUGUGUAGGUGAAGCCCCUGCGGGUGGAGCUGAGACCAGUCGAAGAUACCAGCUGGCUGCAACUGUUUAUUAAAAACACAGCACUGUGCAAACACGAAAGUGGACGUAUACGGUGUGACGCCUGCCCGGUGCCGGAAGGUUAAUUGAUGGGGUUAUCCGUAAGGAGAAGCUCUUGAUCGAAGCCCCGGUAAACGGCGGCCGUAACUAUAACGGUCCUAAGGUAGCGAAAUUCCUUGUCGGGUAAGUUCCGACCUGCACGAAUGGCGUAAUGAUGGCCAGGCUGUCUCCACCCGAGACUCAGUGAAAUUGAACUCGCUGUGAAGAUGCAGUGUACCCGCGGCAAGACGGAAAGACCCCGUGAACCUUUACUAUAGCUUGACACUGAACAUUGAGCCUUGAUGUGUAGGAUAGGUGGGAGGCUUUGAAGCGUGGACGCCAGUCUGCGUGGAGCCAACCUUGAAAUACCACCCUUUAAUGUUUGAUGUUCUAACGUUGGCCCCUUACCGGGGUUGCGGACAGUGUCUGGUGGGUAGUUUGACUGGGGCGGUCUCCUCCCAAAGCGUAACGGAGGAGCACGAAGGUUAGCUAAUCCUGGUCGGACAUCAGGAGGUUAGUGCAAUGGCAUAAGCUAGCUUGACUGCGAGCGUGACGGCGCGAGCAGGUGCGAAAGCAGGUCAUAGUGAUCCGGUGGUUCUGAAUGGAAGGGCCAUCGCUCAACGGAUAAAAGGUACUCCGGGGAUAACAGGCUGAUACCGCCCAAGAGUUCAUAUCGACGGCGGUGUUUGGCACCUCGAUGUCGGCUCAUCACAUCCUGGGGCUGAAGUAGGUCCCAAGGGUAUGGCUGUUCGCCAUUUAAAGUGGUACGCGAGCUGGGUUUAGAACGUCGUGAGACAGUUCGGUCCCUAUCUGCCGUGGGCGCUGGAGAAUUGAGGGGGGCUGCUCCUAGUACGAGAGGACCGGAGUGGACGCAUCACUGGUGUUCGGGUUGUCAUGCCAAUGGCACUGCCCGGUAGCUAAAUGCGGAAGAGAUAAGUGCUGAAAGCAUCUAAGCACGAAACUUGCCCCGAGAUGAGUUCUCCCUGAGACUUUAAGUCUCCUGAAGGAACGUUAAAGACGAUGACGUUGAUAGGCCGGGUGUGUAAGCGCAGCGAUGCGUUGAGCUAACCGGUACUAAUGAACCGUGAGGCUUAACCUU
rnacentral:rRNA from 1 species